AUGAACGCUAGCGGCAGGCUUAACACAUGCAAGUCGAGGGGCAGCGGGGAGUAGCAAUACUCCGCCGGCGACCGGCGCACGGGUGCGUAACGCGUAUGCAACCUACCUUUAACAGGGGCAUAACACUGAGAAAUUGGUACUAAUUCCCCAUAACAUUCGAGAAGGCAUCUUCUUGGGUUAAAAACUCCGGUGGUUAAAGAUGGGCAUGCGUUGUAUUAGCUAGUUGGUGAGGUAACGGCUCACCAAGGCGACGAUACAUAGGGGGACUGAGAGGUUAACCCCCCACAUUGGUACUGAGACACGGACCAAACUCCUACGGGAGGCAGCAGUGAGGAAUAUUGGUCAAUGGACGCAAGUCUGAACCAGCCAUGCCGCGUGCAGGAAGACGGCUCUAUGAGUUGUAAACUGCUUUUGUACUAGGGUAAACGCUCUUACGUGUAGGAGCCUGAAAGUAUAGUACGAAUAAGGAUCGGCUAACUCCGUGCCAGCAGCCGCGGUAAUACGGAGGAUCCAAGCGUUAUCCGGAUUUAUUGGGUUUAAAGGGUGCGUAGGCGGUUUGAUAAGUUAGAGGUGAAAUACCGGGGCUCAACUCCGGAACUGCCUCUAAUACUGUUGAACUAGAGAGUAGUUGCGGUAGGCGGAAUGUAUGGUGUAGCGGUGAAAUGCUUAGAGAUCAUACAGAACACCGAUUGCGAAGGCAGCUUACCAAACUAUAUCUGACGUUGAGGCACGAAAGCGUGGGGAGCAAACAGGAUUAGAUACCCUGGUAGUCCACGCAGUAAACGAUGAUAACUCGUUGUCGGCGAUACACAGUCGGUGACUAAGCGAAAGCGAUAAGUUAUCCACCUGGGGAGUACGUUCGCAAGAAUGAAACUCAAAGGAAUUGACGGGGGCCCGCACAAGCGGAGGAACAUGUGGUUUAAUUCGAUGAUACGCGAGGAACCUUACCCGGGCUUGAAAGUUAGUGACGAUUCUGGAAACAGGAUUUCCCUUCGGGGCACGAAACUAGGUGCUGCAUGGUUGUCGUCAGCUCGUGUCGUGAGAUGUUGGGUUAAGUCCCGCAACGAGCGCAACCCCUAUCUUCAGUAGCCAGCGGUAAGGCCGGGCACUCUGGAGAGACUGCCAGGGAUAACCUGGAGGAAGGUGGGGAUGACGUCAAAUCAGCACGGCCCUUACGUCCGGGGCUACACACGUGUUACAAUGGUAGGUACAGAGGGCCGCUACCCCGCGAGGGGAUGCCAAUCUCGAAAGCCUAUCUCAGUUCGGAUCGGAGGCUGAAACCCGCCUCCGUGAAGUUGGAUUCGCUAGUAAUCGCGCAUCAGCCAUGGCGCGGUGAAUACGUUCCCGGGCCUUGUACACACCGCCCGUCAAGCCAUGGAAGCUGGGGGUGCCUGAAGUUCGUGACCGCAAGGAGCGACCUAGGGCAAAACCGGUGACUGGGGCU
rnacentral:rRNA from 1 species